AUUGAACGCUGGCGGCAUGCCUUACACAUGCAAGUCGAGCGGCAGCGCGGGGGCAACCCUGGCGGCGAGCGGCGAACGGGUGAGUAAUGCAUCGGAACGUGUCCUCUUGUGGGGGAUAACCAGUCGAAAGACUGGCUAAUACCGCAUGAGCUCGAGAGAGGAAAGCAGGGGACCGCAAGGCCUUGCGCGAGAGGAGCGGCCGAUGCCGGAUUAGCUAGUUGGUGGGGUAACGGCCCACCAAGGCGACGAUCCGUAGCUGGUCUGAGAGGACGACCAGCCACACUGGGACUGAGACACGGCCCAGACUCCUACGGGAGGCAGCAGUGGGGAAUUUUGGACAAUGGGGGCAACCCUGAUCCAGCCAUGCCGCGUGUGUGAAGAAGGCCUUCGGGUUGUAAAGCACUUUUGUCAGGGAAGAAACGGUGUCAACUAAUAUUUGAUGCUAAUGACGGUACCUGAAGAAUAAGCACCGGCUAACUACGUGCCAGCCGCCGCGGUAA
rnacentral:rRNA from 1 species